rnacentral:rRNA from 1 species
CCUACGGGAGGCAGCAGUGGGGAAUAUUGCACAAUGGGCGCAAGCCUGAUGCAGCCAUGCCGCGUGUAUGAAGAAGGCCUUCGGGUUGUAAAGUACUUUCAGCGGGGAGGAAGGCUGUUGAAGGUUAAUAAACCUCAGCAAUGACGUUACCCGCAGAAGAAGCACCGGCUAACUCCGUGCCAGCAGCCGCGGUAAUACGGAGGGUGCAAGCGUUAAUCG